rnacentral:rRNA from 1 species
AUUGAACGCUGGCGGCAUGCCUUACACAUGCAAGUCGAACGGCAGCACGGGGCAACCUGGUGACGAGUGGCGAACGGGUGAGUAAUGCAUCGGAACGUACCUUUCAGUGGGGGAUAACGUAGCGAAAGUUACGCUAAUACCGCAUAUUCUGUGAGCAGGAAAGCAGGGGAUCGCAAGACCUUGCGCUGAUUGAGCGGCCGAUGUCAGAUUAGCUAGUUGGUGAGGUAAAGGCUCACCAAGGCGACGAUCUGUAGCGGGUCUGAGAGGAUGAUCCGCCACACUGGAACUGAGACACGGUCCAGAAUCCUACGGGAGGCAGCAGUGGGGAAUUUUGGACAAUGGGGGCAACCCUGAUCCAGCCAUGCCGCGUGAGUGAAGAAGGCCUUCGGGUUGUAAAGCUCUUUCGGCCGGGAAGAAAUCGCACGGGCUAAUACCCUGUGUGGAUGACGGUACCGGAAUAAGAAGCACCGGCUAACUACGUGCCAGCCGCCGCAGUAA